GGUAGCGUGGCCGAGCGGUCUAAGGCGCUUGUUUAAGGCACCAGUCAUUUCGACGGCGUGGGUUCGAAUCCCACCGCUGCCA
rnacentral:tRNA from 1 species